rnacentral:rRNA from 1 species
AACGAACGCUGGCGGCAUGCCUAACACAUGCAAGUCGAACGAACCCUUCGGGGUUAGUGGCGCACGGGUGCGUAACGCGUGGGAACCGCCUUUAGGUUCGGAAUAACUCAGAGAAAUUUGAGCUAAUACCGGAUAAUGUCUUCGGACCAAAGAUUUAUCGCCCUUAGAUGGGCCCGCGUUAGAUUAGAUAGUUGGUGGGGUAAUGGCCUACCAAGUCGACGAUCUAUAGCUGGUCUGAGAGGAUGAUCAGCCACACUGGGACUGAGACACGGCCCAGACUCCUACGGGAGGCAGCAGUGGGGAAUAUUGGACAAUGGGCGAAAGCCUGAUCCAGCAAUGCCGCGUGAGUGAUGAAGGCCUUAGGGUUGUAAAGCUCUUUUACCAGGGAUGAUAAUGACAGUACCUGGAGAAUAAGCUCCGGCUAACUCCGUGCCAGCAGCCGCCGUAA